UCAAAACCCCAAACAGAAGCCAUCUCUCAAAUUUUUCACUUGCGAUUUGUAAUUAACAAUUUUGGUCACAUUUAACUUCUCUUCUCCUAAUAAUAAUCCCUUUCUUCUCUUCUAUCACUAAUAAUAAACUCCCCGUUUUGUUUUACAAAACUUAAAUUUUCUCUCGUUUUUUUUAAAUUUUUUUUGCGUUUUUUUGUAUGAUUUCACGAGAUCAAUUACGUGAAACAGUUACUUCUACUGCUGAUUUCUCUAAUUUUCUUCAUCCGAGAUCUGCCUCCAACACUUUCAAUCACAAACAGAGAUGAAGAGAACGAGAGAUGAUUGUUUAAGUUCUCAAUUUAAACGUCCGUUUACUGCUGCUGCUGCUGCUUCUCGUGGAGCAGAUUUCUAUGGGCAGUCUCAAAUUCCGGAAAAUGGGGAAGGGGGAGGAGGCGGCGGCGGCGGUGGAGGAGGGGGAAUCGCUGGCGGCUGUGGUACUUCCCAGAAACUAACUACCAAUGAUGCCUUAACAUAUUUGAAGGAAGUGAAGGACAUGUUUCAAGAUCAGAAGGAUAAAUACGACCUGUUCCUUGAGGUCAUGAAAGAUUUCAAGGCUCAAAGAACUGAUACUGCUGGUGUCAUUGAAAGAGUGAAACAGUUAUUCAAGGGUCAUAACAACUUAAUUUUUGGAUUUAACACAUUUUUACCAAAGGGAUAUGAAAUAACAGUAGUUGAAGAGGCUCCGAAGAAAGUUGAAUUUGAAGAAGCUAUCAACUUUGUAAACAAAAUAAAGAAACGAUUCCAAAAUGAUGAACAUGUUUAUAAAUCAUUCCUUGACAUAUUGAAUAUGUAUCGGAAGGAGCACAAAAACAUAAAUGAGGUCUACAGCGAGGUUGCUACUCUCUUUGAGGACCAUCGAGAUUUGCUUGAUGAGUUCACUAGAUUCCUACCAGAUACUUCGGCAGCACCCAUGACCCAAAAUGCCCCAUGUGGACGAAAUUCUCUCCAAUGUUACAAUGAGAGGAACUCCAGUGCACCCUCCUCGCGGCAAGUGCAUAUGGACAAGCAACGACGGCGGGAUAGGAUUGUUACAUCCCAUGCUGAACAUGAUCCUAGUAUGGAUCGACAGGAGUUGGUUGAUGACAAAGGAAUGAUUAAAAUGCAUAAAGAUCACAGAAAGCGUUCUGAGAAGGAAAUUAGAGAUAGGAGAAAUUGUGAUGCUGUUGAUAGGGAGCCCGAGCAUGAUAGCGAUAGGGACUUCAGCUUGCAGCGUUUUUCUGACAAAAGGAAAUCUUCAAGGAAGGUUGAAGGUUUUGGAAUGAACUCUAAUGUUUCUUCUUACGAUGACAAAGACAAUUUGAAGAGUGUGUACAACCAAGGAUUUAUGUUCUGUGAGAAGGUGAAGGAGAAGUUGAGUAGUUCAGAUGAUUACCAGGCAUUUUUGAAGUGCCUGAAUAUCUACAGUAACGGAAUAAUUAAAAGGAAUGAUUUACAAAAUUUGGUGGCUGAUUUACUUGGAAAGUAUCCUGACCUUAUGGAGGAGUUCAAUGAUUUCUUUGAGCGAUGUGAGAAUAUUGAUGGGUUCCUUGCUGGUGUUAUGAGUAAAAAAUCCCCAGGUAUUGAUGGACAUGCAUCCAGAUCACUAAAGCUGGAGGACAAAGAAAAAGAGUUGAAACGCGAUUUGGAUGUUACUAAAGAUAGGGAAAGAUACAGGGAGAAGUAUACGGCAAAAUCCAUUCAAGAGCUGGAUCUCUCCAACUGUGAACGUUGUACUCCCAGCUACAGGCUUCUGCCAGAUGAUUAUCCAAUACCUUCAGUUAGCCAGCGAACAGAUGUCGGAGCUCAAGUAUUAAAUGAUCAUUGGGUCUCUGUGACUUCAGGAAGUGAAGAUUACUCAUUUAAACAUAUGCGCAGGAAUCAGUAUGAAGAAAGUUUGUUCAGAUGUGAAGAUGAUAGAUUUGAGCUGGACAUGUUGUUGGAGUCUGUGACCUCCACAGCUAAACGUGCGGAUGAAUUAUUGAACAUCAUUAAUGAAAAUGAAAAAGAUGCUCAGAUCCAUAUUGAUGAUUAUUUCACUGCUCUAAAUUUAAGGUGCAUUGAACGUUUAUAUGGUGACCAUGGUCUUGAUGUCAUGGACAUAUUGCGAAAAAACCCAACUCUUGCACUGCCGGUUGUAUUAACUCGCUUAAAGCAAAAACAAGAAGAGUGGAUGAGGUGUCGAGCAGAUUUUAACAAGGUUUGGGCAGAAAUCUAUUCAAAAAACCAUUACAAAUCAUUGGAUCACCGUAGCUUCUAUUUCAAGCAGCAAGAUUCAAAGAACUUGAGUACAAGAUUCUUGGUAUCUGAGAUCAAGGAAUUGAAAGAGAAGCAGCAGAAGGAAGAUGAUGUUCUGUUAGCUUUUGCUGCUGGAAACCGGCAAUCUGUAGUUCCGCAUGUGGAGUAUGAGUACUCUGAUAUGAGCAUUCAUGAAGACUUGUAUAAACUUGUCCAAUAUUCAUCUGGAGAGGUUUGCUCCAAAGAGCAAGUGAACAAAGUCAUGAGGUUCUGGACUACAUUUAUGGAGCCAAUGUUUGGAAUCGUUUCUCGAUCUAAUUCCAUGGAGAAUUCUGAAGCUGACAGGAAAUCUGGGCAUCACUUGAUGAGUUUCACUACAUCAAACAUACCAGAAAAUGGUGCUGAUUCUUCUAUAUCAAAUUCUAAGCAGCUUAAAUCGGCUAUAAAUGGAGAUGAAAACACUUCGGCUGAUCCUGCUAAUCAUUGUGGGCUAAGUUUGGCAAAUGGGGAUAGUUUGGCUAAAGAUAGUAUACCCGAAUCAGACCGUGUUAGUAAAGAUGAUCUGUCAUGUAACACAUAUAGACUAGAAAGAGAACACAAGGAUACAAAUGUGACUGACAGACUAUCUGGAUUUAACACACAAGUUGCCUCUGGUCAAGGUAUAGCUGAUUCCAAAACAUCAAUUAUGGUGGGAGCAGAAAAAAGUCAUGGAAGAAACACAUUUACUGGGAUUGGAGGAUCUGAUUCAGCCUUGUCAAAUCUUGGUGCUGCUGCUCUUGAGGAUCAUAAACUCAAAACAAGCAUUAGCAUUGCACCCUUAUCAGAGAGUCUUCAGGGUGGGAUUGGAGCUAAAUCUGUUUUACCAGCUAAUGGAGCAUUGGUGGAUAGCACUAAAUCUAGUAGGUACCUCGAAGAAUCCACUUCACCGGCCAAAAUUGAAAAAGAGGAGGGCGAAUUGUCUCCCAAUGGUGAUUUUGAGGAGGAUAAUUUUGCUGUCUAUGGAGAUAAUGCCAUGCAAUCUCUACUCAAUGGGAAGCAUAGCGUUGAGAGUCGGCAAAAUGGGGAAGAAUUAUAUUGUCAGGAUCCUAGAGGAGAAAACGAUGGUGAUGCAGAUGCAGAUGAUGAGGAUAGUGAUAAUGCCUCAGAGGCUGGGGAUGAUGCAUCUGGAAGUGAGUCUGCUGGUGAUGAAUGCUCCAGGGAAGAGCAUGAAGAGGAUGAAGAUGCAGAACGAGGUGAUGUUGAUGGGAAAGCUGAGAGUGAAGGUGAAGCAGAGGGCAUGGCUGAUGCACAGUUUGCUGGGGAUGUGCCAGCGUCGGAACGGUUUUUUUUGUCUGUGAAGCCUCUCGUGAAACAUGUUCCACCAGGUGUACCUGAUGGGGGAAAAAAAGAAUCUCGGAAAUUCUAUGGAAAUGAUAAUUUCUAUGUGCUUUUCAGGCUUCAUCAAACCCUGUAUGAAAGAGUAUUAUCAGCCAAAACAAACUCAACUUGUGCUGAAAUGAAAUGGAAAGUUCAUAAUGAUUCAAGUACUGAAAAUCCCUAUGCCAGGUUUAUGGCUGCGCUGUAUGGACUGGUUGAUGGAUCUGUUGAGAAUGCCAAAUUUGAGGACGAAUGCAGAGCUAUUAUUGGAAAUCAGUCAUAUGUAUUAUUUACCCUGGAUAAGUUAAUAUUCAAAUUGGUUAAACAGCUUCAAGCUGUUGUGGCUGAUGAUAUGGACAAUAAGCUUCUUCAGUUAUAUGAAUAUGAAACAUCCCGAAAAUUUGGGAAGUCCGUGGAUUCGGUGUAUUAUGAUAAUGUGCGUUUCCUUCUUCAUGAAGAGAACAUUUAUCGCUUAGAAUUCUCCUCUUCUCCAUCUUGUUUGUCCAUUCAAGUGAUGGAAAAUGUAAUUGAGAAGCCAGAGGUGUUGGCAGUUGCAAUAGAUCCUAAUUUUGCAGCAUAUUUGCAUAGUGAUUUUCUGUCCAUCUAUCCUAGCAAAAAGGAGCCACAUGGAAUUGCACUGGAGAGAAAUAAGCGAAGAUACACAGAUCUAGAUGAACAUUCUGCUAUAUGCAUGGCCAUGGACGGUGUUAAAACAUUCAAUGGUUUGGAGUGUAAAAUAGCCUGCAAUUCUUGCAAGAUCUCCUAUGUUCUGGACACGGAGGAUUUCUUCUUUAGAUUAAGAAAGAAAAGAAGCACUUCAUCAGAAAUAAAAUCUAGGAAUUAUGAUAAAGUUCAGACAAGAAGACAACGAUUCCAUAAAUUCUUAUCAGCUUCGUGCUAAUCUCUGGUUUCAUCUCUGUGAGACUUAAGAAGUCCUUGGCACAAUCAAAAAGUAUAAAGGUCUUGAGACAACUUCCUCAGAUGCUCGGGAUCCCUUUUCCUUUGAGCCUCUUUCAUCUCAAAUUCUAUUCAACUCCAAAAUGUUAGGGGCACGUUAUGAUGGAAAGCUUCGCUGUUUGAUACGGAAGUUUGCAGAGCUUUUCGAGAUGAAUUCUCUCAGGCUAAUGAAGCCUAUGUGGCAAACAGAUUGGGCUAUGAGUUGUUCAAUUCAAAACGAUGUAAAAAUGUGAAAUGUCAUAAUUAAAUAUUUAAAUAUCUUUAAAUAGGUUUUAAAUUUUGUUAUUUAUGAGCUUUGAACAGGGGUAACGGUAAUGAGUUGUACAAUGCCAACUUUAAAAAGGUUAGAAUGUAGGAUGUCACCUUUCAAAUAAGGUGCUUAAAUUGCUAUAAACAUUAAAUGCCGGAAUUUUAUGUACAAGUAAUUUAAAAAUAAAAGAUCAGUGACAUUUAUUAAUUGUCCACAUUGUGUAUAUAAAUACUUAUUCAUCCAUUGUAUUUUAUGUAACUUGCAAUUUAUUUUCCAUUUUAA